rnacentral:rRNA from 1 species
GACGUAGGGGGCCAGCGUUGCUCGGAAUUACUGGGUGUAAAGGGUUCGUAGGCGGUGCGGCAAGUUGGGAGUGAAAUCUCUGGGCUCAACCCAGAGGCUGCUUCCAAAACUGCUGUGCUUGAGUGUGGGAGAGGCGCGUGGAAUUGCAGGUGUAGCGGUGAAAUGCGUAGAUAUCUGCAGGAACACCCGUGGCGAAAGCGGCGCGCUGGACCACAACUGACGCUGAGGUGCGAAAGCGUGGGGAGCAAACAGG